UUGCAUGUCUUUCUCAUCAAUGAUAUUGUUUUCAACAGCCAUGGUUACACGAGCAUAUUAUUCUUCCGUCAUGGUUAUCAACGAAGAUGGUGUAUCCACGUAUUUUAAGAUGGGUCGAUAGCAGUUAUCGACAGACGGGCAUGCAUAAAAAAAUUUUAGACAAUCUUAUCUGCACACAGAUUAUUGAAGAUAUAACCCCUACAAAUGAGGAGAGUCACCUUUUACCUCUCACUAGACAUCAAAUUCAAUCAAAGAGAUACGUCAGUGGUUAGAACCAUGCCUUGUGAAGAUUGAAGAGAAAAUAGACGCCUCAAGCUCGAAUAGAGAAAUACGUCAGUAGUUGGAACCCAUACUUCUGAAGAUUGAUGAGAAAAUUAUAAGUAAAAUUUUAUAUAUUUUCUAUACAUAUUUUUAGAUUAUAUAACUAAUUUCACAUUACUUUAUAUAAGGUGACUUCAAAUACAAAUAAAGAAAUUCGUCAG